rnacentral:rRNA from 1 species
UAAGGGAUUUUCGGCAAUGGGGGCAACCCUGACCGAGCAACGCCGCGUGCGGGAAGACGGCCUUCGGGUUGUAAACCGCUUUUCCGGGGGACGAGAACGGACGGUACCUCGGGAAGAAGCCCCGGCUAACUACGUGCCAGCAGCCGCGGUAAUACGUAGGGGGCGAGCGUUGUCCGGAGUUAUUGGGCGUAAAGCGCGUGCAGGCGGCCUGGAAGGUGUGGUGUGAAAGCUCCCGGCUUAACUGGGAGACGGCGCUGCAGACUGCCAGGCUCGAGGGCUGGAGAGGGAGAUGGAAUUCCGGGUGUAGCGGUGGAAUGCGUAGAUAUCCGGAGGAACACCAGUGGCGAAAGCGGUCUCCUGGACAGCCCCUGACGCUCAAGCGCGAAAGCGAGGGGAGCGAACGG